UGGGGAAUCUUAGACAAUGGGGGCAACCCUGAUCUAGCCAUGCCGCGUGAGUGAUGAAGGCCUUAGGGUUGUAAAGCUCUUUCAGCUGGGAAGAUAAUGACGGUACCAGCAGAAGAAGCCCCGGCUAACUCCGUGCCAGCAGCCGCGGUAAUACGGAGGGGGCUAGCGUUGUUCGGAAUUACUGGGCGUAAAGCGCACGUAGGCGGACUGGAAAGUUGGGGGUGAAAUCCCGGGGCUCAACCUCGGAACUGCCUUCAAAACUAUCAGUCUGGAGUUCGAGAGAGGUGAGUGGAAUUCAGAGUGUAGAGGUGAAAUUCGUAGAUAUUCGGAGGAACACCAGUGGCGAAGGCGGCUCACUGGCUCGAUACUGACGCUGAGGUGCGAAAGCGUGGGGAGCAAACA
rnacentral:rRNA from 1 species